rnacentral:rRNA from 1 species
UACCGUAGGCGGUGUGGCAAGUCGGUAGUGAAAUACUCUCGGCUUAACUGGGAGGCUGCUGCCGAGACUGCCAUGCUCGAGUGCGAGAGAGGCGAGUGGAAUUGCGGGUGUAGCGGUGAAAUGCGUAGAUAUCCGCAGGAACAUCCGAGGCGAAAGCGGCUCGCUGGAUCGCAACUGACGGCUGAGGGACGAAAGCUAGGGGAGCAAACAGGAUUAGAUACCCUGGUAGUACCUAGCCCUAAACCAUCGAGGACUUGGGGUUUCGCCCUGUACGGGGCAAGUCCCGGAGCUAACGCGUUAAGUCCUGCGCCGUGGGGAGUACGGUCGCAAGGCUGAA